rnacentral:rRNA from 1 species
AUGCAAGAUCAGACGGCCACAACGACGAGCUCGCCGCCUUCCAGCAGCGACAGGUCGUCCAGCAGCUCCAAGGAAGGGAUGGACAGCGACGACGACAUAGGGAGGGUGCCGGAGUUCGGGCUGUACCAGGGAGGCCCGUCGACCUCGGGAAGGGGGCAGGCGGCGGCCGGGGCUUCGUCGGAGCUCGCGCAGUCGGCGGCCGCUGCGCAGGCCAUUUCCCGCCGCCGCGGCCGUAGCCCGGCCGACAAGGAGCACCGGCGACUCAAAAGAUUGUUGAGGAACCGGGUGUCGGCGCAACAGGCACGGGAGAGGAAGAAGGCGUACAUGGGCGAGCUGGAGGCGAAGGUGAAGGACUUGGAGACAAGAAACUCAGAGCUCGAGGAGAGGCUCUCCACGCUGCAGAACGAGAACCAAAUGCUUAGACAGAUACUGAAAAACACCACCGGUAACAGGAGAGGACCGGGUGGCAGUGGCGGUGCCGGCGGGGAUAGCUAG